rnacentral:sRNA from 1 species
CAGACCCGGAAGUGGAUCGUGCGGAGCAAGCAUCACACCAUGGCGUACGAGUGUUCCUCUGUGUAGACUCAACCUGCGCCUCGCCGUCCCCCAUUCGCACACCCGAUGCCCGGGGGUCGCUACGGACUUAAAAUCUCCGCACCGCACCCUCCACCUCAGAAACGUUCCUGGAUCCGAACACUGCCCCCUGACGACCUAGAGAGAUCCCAGCUCCCAGCCCACUGAGUGGCUUCAGCCUCGCUGGCACCUCCCAACUCCUGGCCUCUCUGCACGAGGCGCCUGCCCCGGGCCCCGCCUACAGGGGACCCAGCUCUUCUUGCAGCCACUGGAAGCUGAUCACCUGGAGUGAAGACCUUACACGAAGAAGUCUGGAAGAAGAGGAAGAGGAAAGAAAAGGAGUCAGGGAUGGCCCUUACUCAGGUAAAGUGAUACUCCUGGUGGAUUGUUCUUUUAUUUCUUCCUGAAAUGCCUGGCAUUGGCAUUGCGAAUCUUCUCUGAGUCUGAAGCGUCCUGCCUGACAUGUUUGCUAGCACUCACCCGCGCCUUCCCUCAGUCCCUCUCAUCUCGUUUAGAUUCCGUCUCCCCUGACCCAGUGACAUGAAUGUGGGAAGAGGCUGCACUGGGCAUGGUCCUGGGAAGGGCUCACACCCAGACAUGCAUGGAGAUGGGGUGAGGGUCCCGUGGUGUCAGUGCUGUUGGGCAGCAGGGAUUGCUCAGGGGUCGCAUCUGGAUGCACUGUCAGCGCUGUGUAAACCAUGAUAACAGAAGCUGCCCAUGAAGUCAGGUGUUACUGUGCACACGUACCUGCUCACUGGCAUAGAAUAAGAACACUAAGGGGAAAGCUUUCCUGCCUCAUUGGCAACUGCAUUUGAAGCCGAACAAGUGAGUCAUUGGGUUUCUGACUCCAAACUCAUAAAGACUGGGAACGGAAUGCAAAGUUUAGACACUGACAUUGGAGAUAGAUGAUUCUUUCAUUCCAUCAUCCAUUUUAAUGUAUGACAUCAACGUAAAUGUGUAACAAGAUUCAUUAAACUAGUCUCAGAAGCUCUAUCCCAUGGAGACUGUGAUGUUCUUACAAGAACCUUUGUCCGUCGGGUAUUGCAGGUGAGAAUGGCAUAUAAGCAGAAUAACCUUGCCGUUAGAGAGAAUGGAACUGUAUUUUUGUUUUACCAGUUAUGAGUCAACAUUUUGUUUCUUUUAUUUUAAACAUGGCAUCAUGUAUAUAUUUCUUUUAUAGUGAAAUGAUACAUUUAUGCGCCAAGAGGUAAAGCAUCCCUUUUCCUGUCCAGCCUUCCACCCUCCCUCACAUCUUAGUGGGGAGCCACUGUUCUCAAUUCUGUGGGAAGGGUCAGUGCAAGUCCUGUAGAAAUGUAUUUUGACAUCAUUAUGAGAUUUAAACAAAUUCCUCAGUGAAUGUUUGGUUGUGAUAUGUUAACCUGCAAGUUUUGAACAUUGACAUGUUUUCGUGUUAGGAAACAGGAGCUCACUUUUCUACAUCCUUGUUGGAGCAUUCUGGGAAUGAAGACAGGUGGAUCUUUUAACUUUCUCACUUCUAUAAAGAAUGCCACACAGGGUGCUGCAUGGUGGCUCACACCUGUAAUCCCAGCACUUGUGGAAGCCAAGGUGGGAGGAUCAUUUGAGCCCCAGAGAUUGAGGCUGCAGUGAGCCAUGAUAGUGCCACUGCACUUCAGCCUGAGUGACAGAACAAGACCUUGUCUCAAAAAAAAAAAAAAAAAA